AGAGUUUGAUCAUGGCUCAGGAUGAACGCUAGCUACAGGCUUAACACAUGCAAGUCGAGGGGCAGCAUGGGUCUUAGCUUGCUAAGGCCGAUUGGCGACCGGCGCACCGGAUGAGUAACACGUAUCCAACCUGCCGUCUACUCUUGGACAGCCUUCUGAAAGGAAGAUUAAUACAAGAUGGCAUCAUGAGUCCGCAUGUUCACAUGAUUAAAGGUAUUCCGGUAGACGAUGGGGAUGCGUUCCAUUAGAUAGUAGGCGGGGUAACGGCCCACCUAGUCUUCGAUGGAUAGGGGUUCUGAGAGGAAGGUCCCCCACAUUGGAACUGAGACACGGUCCAAACUCCUACGGGAGGCAGCA
rnacentral:rRNA from 1 species